ACAUUCUUAAUGCUGAUGGUCCUGCUCCCCUUGAACUACCCAAUCAGUGGCUCUGGGAUAUCAUCGAUGAGUUCAUCUACCAGUUUCAAUCAUUUAGUCAGUACUGCUGUAAGACUGCCAAGAAGUCAGAGGAAGAGAUUGACUUCCUUCGUUCCAAUCCCCAAAUCUGGAAUGUUCACAGUGUCCUCAAUGUCCUCCAUUCCUUAGUAGACAAAUCCAACAUCAACCGGCAGUUGGAAGUAUACACAAGCGGAGGUGACCCUGAGAGUGUGGCUGGGGAGUAUGGAUGGCACUCCCUCUACAAGAUGCUUGGUUACUUCAGCCUGGUGGGGCUUCUGCACCUGCACUCCUUGUUGGGGGAUUACUACCAAGCCAUCAAAGUGUUGGAGAACAUUGAACUGAACAAGAAGAGCAUGUAUUCCCGUGUACCAGAGUGCCAAGUUACCACAUACUAUUACAUCGGUUUUGCAUAUUUGAUGAUGCGUCGCUACCAGGAUGCUAUUCGGGUCUUUGCCAACAUCCUCCUCUACAUCCAAAGGACCAAGAGUAUGUUCCAGAGGACCACGUAUAAGUAUGAGAUGAUUAAUAAGCAGAAUGAGCAGAUGCACGCACUGCUGGCCAUCGCCCUCACUAUGUACCCAAUGCGUAUUGAUGAGAGCAUUCACCUCCAGCUGCGGGAGAAGUAUGGGGACAAGAUGCUACGCAUGCAGAAAGGUGACCCACGGGUUUAUGAGGAACUUUUCAGCUACUCCUGCCCCAAGUUCCUGUCACCUGUAGUGCCCAACUAUGACAACGUGCAUCCGAACUACCACAGAGCCCCUCCUGCAGCUGCUGAAGGUGUUUGCUGAUGAAGUGCAGCAGCAGGCCCAGCUCUCAACUAUCCGCAGCUUCCUCAAGCUCUACACCACCAUGCCAGUGGCCAAGCUAGCUGGCUUCCUAGACCUCACGGAGCAGGAGUUCCGGAUCCAGCUUCUUGUCUUCAAACACAAGAUGAAGAACUUGGUGUGGACCAGCGGUAUCUCUGCCCUAGACGGCGAGUUUCAGUCAGCCUCCGAAGUUGACUUCUACAUUGAUAAGGACAUGAUCCACAUUGCAGACACCAAAGUUGCCAGACGCUAUGCUAUGGGGAUUUCUUUAUCCGCCAAAUCCACAGAUUUGAGGAGCUUAAUCGAACCCUAAAGAAGAUGGGCCAAAGACCCUGAGGACAUUCACACCCAUGUUUAUCAGGAAUCUGCUCUAAUAUUAUAGACGGGAAGUGUUUUUGCACCAUGAAAUCUUUA